GGGGGCGACCUUGGUUUCGACGGGGGUUGCAAAGCGACUGCGGGCAUGUCGGGAUUUCAGUAACCCCGUAAAACACUGAAACUUAAAUAGUCGCAAACGACGAAACUUUCGCUAUCGCUGCGUAAGCGGUGCCGCUGCAACGAUUUGUUAAUGGGUCGUGUGGGGCAACCCACAGCAGCGUCAUUUUACAUUAAAUAGUUGGCUGUCGGACUACUUGGCAGUUGAUGAGAUUUAAGGUAGUUGGUUUUGUUUGUAGCCUGUCUUUCGGCGAUAAAUAAAACGAGAUUUUUAAAUAGAACAGACUAAACAUGUAGAACGCUUCGUAGAGGGCUUUCGGACGCGGGUUCGAUUCCCGCCGCCUCCACCA
rnacentral:tmRNA from 1 species